AAUGAACGCUGGCGGCAGGCCUAUAACAUGCAAGUCGAACGCUCUAGCAAUAGAGAGUGGCGCACGGGUGAGUAACACGUGGGAAUAUGCCUUUUGGUACGGAACAACGUCUGGAAACGGACGCUAAUACCGUAUGGUCCCUCCGGGGUAAAGAUUUAUCGCCAAAAGAUUAGCCCGCGUCUGAUUAGCUAGUUGGUGAGGUAAUGGCUCACCAAGGCGACGAUCAGUAGCUGGUCUGAGAGGACGAUCAGCCACACUGGGACUGAGACACGGCCCAGACUCCUACGGGAGGCAGCAGUUAGGAAUAUUGGACAAUGGGCGCAAGCCUGAUCCAGCCAUGCCGCGUGAGUGAUGAAGGCCUUCGGGUUGUAAAGCUCUUUAGUCCACGAAUAUAAUGACUGUAGUGGAAGAAUAAGCCCCGGCUAACUUCGUGCCAGCAGCCGCAGUAAGAC
rnacentral:rRNA from 1 species